rnacentral:lncRNA from 1 species
UGAGUAAAGGACAUUUUGCUCGGAAGUGUCCCGGCUUCUUACAUUCGUAGCAUCCGAUUCCCUCACUUUCCCUUUCCUUACCUUUAUCCUUGUGAUAGGAACUUGAGGGGCCUCUCCUUUGAUGAAAGGACUUCUUCCGGUUGAUGAAUCUACAGAAUUUUCUUACAAGAAAAGCCUCAUCAUCCUCACCCUCAUUGUCUUCCUCUUC